UACGAGGGGAGCAAGCGUUGUUCGGAUUUACUGGGCGUAAAGGGCGCGUAGGCGGUCGUGACAAGUCACUUGUGAAAUCUCCGGGCUUAACUCGGAACGGUCAAGUGAUACUGUCGGACUAGAGUACAGAAGGGGCAACUGGAAUUCUCGGUGUAGCGGUGAAAUGCGUAGAUAUCGAGAGGAACACCUGCGGCGAAGGCGGGUUGCUGGGCUGAUACUGACGCUGAUGCGCGAAAGCGUGGGGGAGCAAACAGG
rnacentral:rRNA from 1 species